CUUCAUUGGCCAACUACAGACUGCAGGACUGGAUUCAGCACAACUGUCACAUAGUGUUAUAGCCUGAACUGCUGUAGCGCCAAAAUAAAUAGGCUUUAAUGUGCCAGUUAACAUGCCAGUCUUUCAGGAACAGCAUGGUUCUGCUACAAGACCAUCUGUGUCCAAGCCAAAGUGAACCUGCUGUGCAGCGGGACUGAACUGCGUUUCAGAAGUCCAAUUACGACACCCGACCAUUUCCCGUCACAGUUCUGUGGAGGCCGGACCCGACAUCGACAGCGCGGACGCAAGGAUUUUGCCCCACGUUUCUAGCAUGGGGCGGCCAUCUUGAAGUGCCUCCUACCGGCAUCUUUUCUGCGAUCAAUUCAAGCCUGACUGUGUGGAACAUAGAGUGUGUGAACCCCUCCAACGACCCCCAACACUAUUUAUGAACGCAGACCUCGACACAAGACAGUGCCUGUCUAAAAUAACGUCCUAUGUCAGGAAUUUAGUCUGGCAGCUUACGAACAGCGAACAUCAGUCAUUAUAUGAUUGAGAUCAGGGCGGUUUAAGUCUCAGGCUGAAACCUCUUCAAACAGCUGGAUUGGAGAAAUCUGAGCCGCACAUGUGCUGGAUGGGAGGAGGGUAUUGUGUCCACAAAUGUAUUCAUACCCUACAUUCACGCUGCUGCUGCUCACACUGAGUGCUAACAGCUGAAAUGCCACCAGUAAGAUAUGCUGCUUAAACCAUUUAGACACACUGGUGCCAGGUUUCUCAUCUCGCCCGGACACAUUGGUAAGAACCAGUCCAAAAGAAUUUCAGUGACUGCCGUAAAAAUGUACUAAAAGCUCUCCUGUUUACUUGUGA